rnacentral:rRNA from 1 species
CAGUCGCCGCGGUAAUACGUAGGUGGCAAGCGUUGUCCGGAAUUAUUGGGCGUAAAGCGUGCGCUGGCUGUUCGUUAAGACAGAUGUGAAAUCCCCGGGCUCAACCUGGGAACUGCAUUUGUGACUGGCAAGCUAGAGUGUGGCAGAGGGGGGUGGAAUUCCGCGUGUAGCAGUGAAAUGCGUAGAUAUGCGGAGGAACACCGAUGGCGAAGGCAGCCCCCUGGGCCAACACUGACGCUCAUGCACGAAAGCGUGGGGAGCAAACAGGAUUAGAUACCCCAGUAGUCCCUGUCUCUUAUAC